rnacentral:rRNA from 1 species
GACGAACGCUGGCGGCGUGCUUAACACAUGCAAGUCGAACGGCGUGUCGACAGGGUGAGUAACACGUUGGUGACCUUCCCUUCACUUCGGGCUAAGCCUGGGGAACUGGGUCUCAUACCGGAUAGUGUGGGUAGGGGCCGCGGCCUAUCCGCUUUUUGGUGGGGUAAUGGCCGGCCAAGGCGGCGACGGGUAGCCGGCCUGAGAGGGUGGACGGCCACAUUGGGACAGAGACAGGGGCCAGAAGGCGACGUGGGGCAGGAGUGGAGAAUAUUGCACGAUGGGCGGAAGCCUGAUGGAGCGACGUCGCGUGGGGGAGGACGGUCUUCUGGUUGGAAACUCCGUUCACCAUAGACGCGGUAGAUGGAGAAGAAGCACCGGCUAACUACGUGCCAGCAGCCGCGGUAAUAC